rnacentral:rRNA from 1 species
AUGGUGAAAUUGAUAGCUUCUUAUGAUGAGGAAAUUGGUGCUGUAGUGUUGGGUAAUGCUCCAGGCAAUGCUAAGUACACAUCGCCUACAAUUCAAAAAGAACUUCUAGGUAUCAUUGCUUCUAACAUGCAAAGUGAAUUUCGAAAAGAAAUAGGAGAUGCUAAGUUUUGCUUGCUUGUUGAUAAGUCAAGAGAUGAAUCCAAAAGAGAGCAAAUGGCAAUAGUGAUUCGUUUUGUUGAUAAACCUGGUUUCACUCGUGAACGUUUUCUUGAUAUUGUUCAUGUUGUUGAUACAUCUUCGGCUACCCUAAAAGAAGAGAUAUAUUAUGUUUUGGUUCAACAUCAGUUAGAUGUGAACAAUUUUCGCGGCCAAGGAUACGAUGGUGCUAGUAACAUGUGUGGAGAGUGGAAUGGACUACAAGCAAAGUUCAUCGAGGAGUGUCCUUAUGCAUAUUAUAUCCAUUGUUUUGCUCAUCAAUUGCAGCUAGCUCCUGCUGCUACAUCUAAAGAAGUAGCUGAUGUUCACAACUUUUUUGAUCAUCUUGCCCUUGUUGUCAAUACGGUUGUGUCUUCUAGUAAGAAAAACGAUGAGUUGCAAGCAAAUCAAGUUGCUGAAAUGGAGCAUCUGAUUGAGCUCGGCGAGCUUGAAACUGGAAGUGGGGCUAAUCAAGUCGGAACUUUACAACGGCCUUGUGACACUAGGUGGGGUUCACACCAUGCUUCUGUUUGCAACCUUGUGAAAUUGUACAAACCAACAUUUUUGGUACUUAAAAGCAUCGCAACUUCUAAAGGAUCAGGUACUUCACCUUCCGCACGAGCAAAGGCUUCUGGUGUUGUUAAGUUGAUGAUGUCAUUUGACUUCAUAUUUAUUCUGCAUGUCAUGAAAGAACUUAUGGGAAUCACACACAUGCUAUGCAAAAAGUUGCAACAGAAGUCUUAA